rnacentral:rRNA from 1 species
GACGAACGCUGGCGGCGUGCUUAACACAUGCAAGUCGAACGGAAAGGCCCUGCUUUUGUGGGGUGCUCGAGUGGCGAACGGGUGAGUAACACGUGAGUAACCUGCCCUUGACUUUGGGAUAACUUCAGGAAACUGGGGCUAAUACCGGAUAGGAGCUCCUGCUGCAUGGUGGGGGUUGGAAAGUUUCGGCGGUUGGGGAUGGACUCGCGGCUUAUCAGCUUGUUGGUGGGGUAGUGGCUUACCAAGGCUUUGACGGGUAGCCGGCCUGAGAGGGUGACCGGCCACAUUGGGACUGAAAUACGGCCCAGACUCCUACGGGGGGCAGCGGUGGGAAAUAUUGCACAAUGGGCGGAAGCCGGAUGCAGCAACGCCGCGUGCGGGAUGACGGCCUUCGGGUUGUAAACCGCUUUCGCCUGUGACGAAGCGUGAGUGACGGUAAUGGGUAAAGAAGCACCGGCUAACUACGUG